UACGGAGGGUGCAAGCGUUGUUCGGAAUCACUGGGCGUAAAGGGCGCGCAGGCGGCCUGAUCAGUCAGAUGUGAAAGCCCACGGCUUAACCGUGGAAGUGCAUUUGAAACUGUCAGGCUUGAGUACCAGAGGGGAAAGUGGAAUUCCCGGUGUAGAGGUGAAAUUCGUAGAUAUCGGGAGGAAUACCGGUGGCGAAGGCGACUUUCUGGAUGGAUACUGACGCUGAGGCGCGAAAGCGUGGGGAGCAAACAGGAUUAGAUACCCUGGUA
rnacentral:rRNA from 1 species